rnacentral:rRNA from 1 species
CAGAUUCACUUCGGUGAUGACGCUGGGAACGCGAGCGGCGGAUGGGUGAGUAACACGUGGGUAACCUGCCCUAAAGUCUGGGAUACCACUUGGAAACAGGUGCUAAUACCGGAUAACAACAAUAGCUGCAUGGCUAUUGCUUAAAAGGCGGCGAAAGCUGUCGCUAAAGGAUGGACCCGCGGUGCAUUAGCUAGUUGGUAAGGUAAUGGCUUACCAAGGCGACGAUGCAUAGCCGAGUUGAGAGACUGAUCGGCCACAUUGGGACUGAGACACGGCCCAAACUCCUACGGGAGGCAGCAGUAGGGAAUCUUCCACAAUGGGCGAAAGCCUGAUGGAGCAACGCCGCGUGAGUGAAGAAGGUUUUCGGAUCGUAAAGCUCUGUUGUUGGUGAAGAAGGAUAGAGGUAGUAACUGGCCCCUAUUUGACGGUAAUCAACCAGAAAGUCACGGCUAACUACGUGCCAGCAGCCGCGGUAAUACGUAGGUGGCAAGCGUUGUCCGGAUUUAUUGGGCGUAAAGCGAGCGCAGGCGGAAAGAUAAGUCUGAUGUGAAAGCCCCCGGCUUAACCGAGGAAUUGCAUCGGAAACUGUGUUUCUUGAGUGCAGAAGAGGAGAGUGGAACUCCAUGUGUAGCGGUGGAAUGCGUAGAUAUAUGGAAGAACACCAGUGGCGAAGGCGGCUCUCUGGUCUGUAACUGACGCUGAGGCUCGAAAGCAUGGGUAGCGAACAGGAUUAGAUACCCUGGUAGUCCAUGCCGUAAACGAUGAGUGCUAAGUGUUGGGAGGUUUCCGCCUCUCAGUGCUGCAGCUA